rnacentral:rRNA from 1 species
CUUGACCGUAGCCUGGAAUUGGGUUUGGGCUCUUCUUGCGCAGCCUAGGUGGGAGGCGUUGACAGUUCCCUUCCGGGGGAGCUUGAGCCAUCAGUGAGAGACCACUCUGGAGGAGCUAGAAUUCUAAUGGCGAUCCUUGAAUCAGGACGCUUGACAGUUUCAGGCGGGCAGUUUGACUGGGGCGGUCGCCUCAUAAAAGGUAACUGAGGCGUGCAAAGGUUCCCUCAGGCUGGACGGAAAUCAGCCGUAGAGUGUAAAGGCAGAAGGGAGCUUGACUGCAAGACUUACAAGUCGAGCAGGGGCGAAAGUCGGCCUUAGUGAUCCGACGGCGCUGAGUGGAAGGGCCGUCGCUCAACGGAUAAAAGUUA